CACUCGUGACCACCAUACAAUCCUCCAAACACCGUUAACGUCCAAGGGAUUAAGUAUCUUGGCAGAACUCACCUCCGUAGUCCCACGCUGUUUCCUCCAGCCCGACUCCCUCUCCUCCUGGCGGUUUGUCAACAACCAACUACUUUGCCUACUCUGCCAAGACCGUACUUACUUCUGUGCUUUCAAUAAAUCUGUUAAACACUU